rnacentral:rRNA from 1 species
UACGAAGGGGGCUAGCGUUGCUCGGAAUCACUGGGCGUAAAGCGCACGUAGGCGGCUUUUUAAGUCAGGGGUGAAAUCCUGGAGCUCAACUCCAGAACUGCCUUUGAUACUGAAGAUCUUGAGUUCGGGAGAGGUGAGUGGAACUGCGAGUGUAGAGGUGAAAUUCGUAGAUAUUCGCAAGAACACCAGUGGCGAAGGCGGCCCACUGGCCCGAUACUGACGCUGAGGCACGAAAGCGUGGGGAGCAAACAGG